GGUUAAGCGACUAAGCGUACACGGUGGAUGCCCUGGCAGUCAGAGGCGAUGAAGGACGUGCUAAUCUGCGAUAAGCGUCGGUAAGGUGAUAUGAACCGUUAUAACCGGCGAUUUCCGAAUGGGGAAACCCAGUGUGAUUCGUCACACUAUCAUUAACUGAAUCCAUAGGUUAAUGAGGCGAACCGGGGGAACUGAAACAUCUAAGUACCCCGAGGAAAAGAAAUCAACCGAGAUUCCCCCAGUAGCGGCGAGCGAACGGGGAGGAGCCCAGAGCCUGAAUCAGUGUGUGUGUUAGUGGAAGCGUCUGGAAAGGCGCGCGAUACAGGGUGACAGCCCCGUACACAAAAAUGCACAUGCUGUGAGCUCGAUGAGUAGGGCGGGACACGUGGUAUCCUGUCUGAAUAUGGGGGGACCAUCCUCCAAGGCUAAAUACUCCUGACUGACCGAUAGUGAACCAGUACCGUGAGGGAAAGGCGAAAAGAACCCCGGCGAGGGGAGUGAAAAAGAACCUGAAACCGUGUACGUACAAGCAGUGGGAGCACAGAGCAAUCUGUGUGACUGCGUACCUUUUGUAUAAUGGGUCAGCGACUUAUAUUCUGUAGCAAGGUUAACCGAAUAGGGGAGCCGAAGGGAAACCGAGUCUUAACUGGGCGUUAAGUUGCAGGGUAUAGACCCGAAACCCGGUGAUCUAGCCAUGGGCAGGUUGAAGGUUGGGUAACACUAACUGGAGGACCGAACCGACUAAUGUUGAAAAAUUAGCGGAUGACUUGUGGCUGGGGGUGAAAGGCCAAUCAAACCGGGAGAUAGCUGGUUCUCCCCGAAAGCUAUUUAGGUAGCGCCUCGUGAAUUCAUCUCCGGGGGUAGAGCACUGUUUCGGCAAGGGGGUCAUCCCGACUUACCAACCCGAUGCAAACUGCGAAUACCGGAGAAUGUUAUCACGGGAGACACACGGCGGGUGCUAACGUCCGUCGUGAAGAGGGAAACAACCCAGACCGCCAGCUAAGGUCCCAAAGUCAUGGUUAAGUGGGAAACGAUGUGGGAAGGCCCAGACAGCCAGGAUGUUGGCUUAGAAGCAGCCAUCAUUUAAAGAAAGCGUAAUAGCUCACUGGUCGAGUCGGCCUGCGCGGAAGAUGUAACGGGGCUAAACCAUGCACCGAAGCUGCGGCAGCGACACUAUGUGUUGUUGGGUAGGGGAGCGUUCUGUAAGCCUGCGAAGGUGUGCUGUGAGGCAUGCUGGAGGUAUCAGAAGUGCGAAUGCUGACAUAAGUAACGAUAAAGCGGGUGAAAAGCCCGCUCGCCGGAAGACCAAGGGUUCCUGUCCAACGUUAAUCGGGGCAGGGUGAGUCGACCCCUAAGGCGAGGCCGAAAGGCGUAGUCGAUGGGAAACAGGUUAAUAUUCCUGUACUUGGUGUUACUGCGAAGGGGGGACGGAGAAGGCUAUGUUGGCCGGGCGACGGUUGUCCCGGUUUAAGCGUGUAGGCUGGUUUUCCAGGCAAAUCCGGAAAAUCAAGGCUGAGGCGUGAUGACGAGGCACUACGGUGCUGAAGCAACAAAUGCCCUGCUUCCAGGAAAAGCCUCUAAGCAUCAGGUAACAUCAAAUCGUACCCCAAACCGACACAGGUGGUCAGGUAGAGAAUACCAAGGCGCUUGAGAGAACUCGGGUGAAGGAACUAGGCAAAAUGGUGCCGUAACUUCGGGAGAAGGCACGCUGAUAUGUAGGUGAAGUCCCUCGCGGAUGGAGCUGAAAUCAGUCGAAGAUACCAGCUGGCUGCAACUGUUUAUUAAAAACACAGCACUGUGCAAACACGAAAGUGGACGUAUACGGUGUGACGCCUGCCCGGUGCCGGAAGGUUAAUUGAUGGGGUUAGCGCAAGCGAAGCUCUUGAUCGAAGCCCCGGUAAACGGCGGCCGUAACUAUAACGGUCCUAAGGUAGCGAAAUUCCUUGUCGGGUAAGUUCCGACCUGCACGAAUGGCGUAAUGAUGGCCAGGCUGUCUCCACCCGAGACUCAGUGAAAUUGAACUCGCUGUGAAGAUGCAGUGUACCCGCGGCAAGACGGAAAGACCCCGUGAACCUUUACUAUAGCUUGACACUGAACAUUGAGCCUUGAUGUGUAGGAUAGGUGGGAGGCUUUGAAGUGUGGACGCCAGUCUGCAUGGAGCCGACCUUGAAAUACCACCCUUUAAUGUUUGAUGUUCUAACGUUGACCCGUAAUCCGGGUUGCGGACAGUGUCUGGUGGGUAGUUUGACUGGGGCGGUCUCCUCCUAAAGAGUAACGGAGGAGCACGAAGGUUGGCUAAUCCUGGUCGGACAUCAGGAGGUUAGUGCAAUGGCAUAAGCCAGCUUGACUGCGAGCGUGACGGCGCGAGCAGGUGCGAAAGCAGGUCAUAGUGAUCCGGUGGUUCUGAAUGGAAGGGCCAUCGCUCAACGGAUAAAAGGUACUCCGGGGAUAACAGGCUGAUACCGCCCAAGAGUUCAUAUCGACGGCGGUGUUUGGCACCUCGAUGUCGGCUCAUCACAUCCUGGGGCUGAAGUAGGUCCCAAGGGUAUGGCUGUUCGCCAUUUAAAGUGGUACGCGAGCUGGGUUUAGAACGUCGUGAGACAGUUCGGUCCCUAUCUGCCGUGGGCGCUGGAGAAUUGAGGGGGGCUGCUCCUAGUACGAGAGGACCGGAGUGGACGCAUCACUGGUGUUCGGGUUGUCAUGCCAAUGGCACUGCCCGGUAGCUAAAUGCGGAAGAGAUAAGUGCUGAAAGCAUCUAAGCACGAAACUUGCCCCGAGAUGAGUUCUCCCUGACUCCUUGAGAGUCCUGAAGGAACGUUGAAGACGACGACGUUGAUAGGCCGGGUGUGUAAGCGCAGCGAUGCGUUGAGCUAACCGGUACUAAUGAACCGUGAGGCUUAACCUU
rnacentral:rRNA from 1 species